GGAACGAUUCAGCUGGGUGUGUUGAAGGCUCCGGUAUCAGCUCAGGAUUGCGCAGGAUCUUUCUGGCAAGCAUUGCACUCUCCUGGGUUUCGAUGCUGUGAGAAUUACAAUUCAUCCAGAGUUCAAGCCUUUGGUUAAGACAAUGUCCUCAGGGUUAUGAGAGUUGGUGACCUGAUUGGAAAAGCAGCUCUCUGGAAAAAUAAUUAUGGGAGACAAAAAAUAAUAAGAAAAAAGAAAGAAAAUACGUGAUGUGCUGUAGAAGUUCCAGCUGCAAACAGAUUUUCAUUCUCUUGUGCAUAAGAAAGCAAAUAAAAAAUGAAAGCAACUACGCAAAAAGAAGAGCAGAAAGCAACAAAUGGAUUAACAGGGAGCAAUCAGCAUCUGCCAAGCAGCGAGAGUACCAAAGCUGCCAUUAGUAUCUCCCCAGUCUAACUGGUUCGAUUUCCUCCUCACCUCUGAAGGACGAUCCUGCACAGCAGCUGUAUCAGCAUAGACACUGCUGGGGGGUUGUUGCCUUCUGCAAGAGUAUUCGGGACCCUCAACCAAAACCUUCUGCCUUCCUGCUAAAUGAUUGAAGAAUAUCUUGUAAAUCAUUUACCUCUCCCUGCUGCUGGCUUUCUGUUGAUAGUGUUUACUCUGCUUCCAACACGAUGGCAAAGUUAAAUUUUCAUCUUGCAGAAAAAAAAUAAAAAGAACAAAAUACGG
rnacentral:lncRNA from 7 species